UUAGGCUUGGCUAUUUUAUUCGACCAUGCGGGUAUUCGACCCUAUUCGAUUCGAUCGAAGAGGAUAAUACCAGCACUGAACGGGGAAUGCCCACACAAAAUGAGUGGGUACGGAUUGGGGAUGGGUUUAGGUUUCCCCGCCUCAUACCCAUACUCAUAUCUUAUGUUUCUACACACAAUUUAAAUUUACUUUCAAACCUUAUCAUGUCUACCAUGACUCUGAAGAUUAAUUUGGAAGUUAACAUGUUGCAUGCAUCAUUUGUUAAUUUGACCAUAACUUGCAUCUUUUCCAGAUAUGGACCAUUGUCUUAGGUUCAUGUUGGCAAGUUUCUGUUUCUGCCAAGUUCAUCUAUGUAGUUUAUUACUUCAAUAUAAUACAAGCACUUUAAUAUUUAUGGAUUUUUUUUGUUUGCGUAGAGGAUUUUCCUGAACUAUCUUCUUACGCAUAGCCAGUGCGAAUGAUUAUCCAGAUCCAUUCUUCAU
rnacentral:lncRNA from 1 species